UCAUGUUACUUGUUUCUUCUUCCCUUUUUUUUCCUCAUUCCAUUUCUACAUGUAACUAAACAUACUUUCAUCUCUGAGUUCAGCUGCUGAUACCAACUGCAUCAGUAUGGCUUAAACUGGAAUGCUUCUUAAAAAAAAAAAAAAAAAAAAAAAAGGAAGCCUUUUUCUUUUUCUUUUCCCACUCUAUUCACCACUGAGAAAAAGAUUCUUUACAAAAGUGGCUGGAGAUAAAAAUAGAUAACCCAAAAGCUUGAGUUUGGAGAUGUGGUUGUGUUCAUCAAGGUAGAGAUUUAAGAACAAUUCAGUCUGAGCUGCAAAAUCCCUGAAGGCUGAAUUUGUCUUUUUUCAAGGCUGGCUGCCUUCAUCUUGAAUAUUAUUUGUGGAAUAUUGGGGGGGGGAACAUCACUUCUGCUGUGAAGUGUAUUUGUAGGUUGAAUUUGGAUGUAGGACAUUUUGAUAGAAGUGAAAAUUAUGGGGUAAUAGGGAAAAGCAAGCCCUUUGGGGUGGUAAGCAGAAUUGGUCUUCCUGUUAAAUGCUUCUUCCCUGAGGUCUUGACAAGGUGAUGGCUUUUGGAAACCAGAGGUCCUCAGUAUCAUGUGUGUGCUGCACCAGGUGCCGUGGCUUCUGUCAGUCACUUGUGAGUUUGCCUUGCUUUCUGCAAACCAUUGUAGAUUAUCAUUGUCUGCUUCAUAGAAACUGGCUGAAUGGACCUUUUGGGUUCCUAAGCAUAUGUCAUCUUUCCGAGAAAAUUAGAUGGUACAUAUCCUUUCUGACCUUUGGCUUCUGCUAGCCACCAUUCUUUAUUGCCACUCAGGUCAGAAAACCGAAGUAUCCUAACCUUCUGAUACUCCUGAAGACUGAGUUCUUGAUCACUUCUUGCUUGAAAUGCAUAAACAGCAUAGAAGGUCUGAAAAAGGAAAGCCACAAAAUGCAAAAUCUGAAUUCAGAAAUGUGCCACGUCUUAGCUGGCCAUUGCAUGUUAGUACAAGUUCUGUAUGUACAAUGUGUCUAAUAACAUGUAUAUAUAUGGUCUGUAAUUACUUGUAACUGCAUGGUCUGUAAUUGCUUACAGUAUACGAAGAACAGGGCCAAAGUAAUAAGUAAAACUGAAGGGUCUUAGGAAUUCUGCGUAGGAAGGAACAAAAUAAGCUCAUCAGGAGAGCACUGUGCUAAAGUUUUCAGCUCAGAUCAUGCAGCCUUGCAUUGGCUGGAGAAUUUACAAGGUUUCAAAGGAGAGAAAGACCUCGUCUAAAUCUCUUACUCUUAAAUAUGGCAGCUGUUAGGAUGGAUCUCUCAAAUCGUCUUCUCAGCUGCCAGAGAUCCUAUCUGCAGUGAUCUGGUCUGAAGAUGGUAAAAAUUUCAGACACCUCUGUGCCUUGCUGAUCAUCUUUGCUACACUGUCUUGUUAAAGGUAAGUGGAAAAAUCCCCAAGCAGCUCAAAUGAGAACUGUGAGACAUUGUACAUGUAGUGGUAUAAUGUGAAGAUGUGUUUUCUGUGAGACAAGAUUGAGAUUUGCAGUUGAACUGAUUAUCUUUUACUGCUUUGUAGCUAUUUAAAAAAGCCAAAGGACAGAGGAUAGCAAAUUCCCCAUGUCAUUCUGACAGAUUAGUACAAGAAUUUUCCAGUGCAAAAGGAACUAUUUAAAUUACAGCCAUUAUAACGGUGGAUUUGAGAUGAGAAAAAUAAGAAGGGCUCAGCAGGUAUCCUACUUACAUGCUGAUCAUCCACAUCCUGAGAAUCUCCAGCCUCUGUGCUAUUAGUUGUGGGAUUUUUACAGGGGUGAAGAGAUGAGUUGCUGUCACUCUUCUUGUGCCCUGAACUUGAGCUGCUGUCAGAGGAUGGCCGUGAAGAGACAAAGAGGCUGAUGUUAUCAAAAUCAUCAUCACACAAGUUGCUAUCUGCUAUGUCCUUCUGCGCUUUGGCUGGAUUGAAAGGCUUCAGGAAGGAGGAAUAUACAUAUCCCUUGAGGACUGGAUAUCACAGUAAAAAGACAGAAAAUUUAAAAAAAAAAAAAAAAAAAAAAAAUGCUGUUAAACCAUUUUAUGCAGCUGUCAGUACAACAUAAGCAGACAGAUGGGGCCAGAAUGAAAAGAAAUCAAUAGGAGGCUGUUAUUGGGAUGUUUGUGCAGAGAACUUACUUCCUGUGUCAACGAGCCAUCUGCUAGUACUUUGGAAGGGAUCCUUUUGCUCCACAACAGCCACCACUUCUCCUUCAUGCAGAUCAAUAUCAAAUUCCUGCGUGGCAUUGCACUUGCGCUUAGCUUGAUACAGCAGUUCUGCGCUGUACGUAGACAGCAGCUUGGACCUGUGGUCUUCUGUUUGACGUGGGGAUUCGAGCUGAAAAGACUACAAAAAUUGUUCAGUAGGAAUAAUGUCGAGGCUGCUUGUUGAGCAGCACAGAUGCAUAAAAACCAGCGUACAUUCUGCAUGUGGCAACUGACUACACUUCUACAUCCAGAUAAAGGAGUUACACAGCUGUAUGUAACCAAAUGCCCUUUGCAUGUGCAGAAGGGGUCUGUCCAACUGCUAUGGUGAUAGCUGACCGAUAACAGGCAGAUCUCGAAAGAUAUAUAGGAGUAUAACUAAUUAAGUACUUCUUAGCCAGUACUCUGUUCUCAUGAGCCUGUGUUCUGUAUGUGAAAUGUCACUGCUUUAACUGUUUUUACAGAACUGUGAUCUUUGAAUUCCUCUGUGAAGUUGCAAAAAGUGUAAUCAAAAAUUAUCAGAGGUGUGCUAAGGUUAUGUAGCAACUUGCACAGCAAAGCACUGGAGCAGAAAAUGAGUAGAAACAGAAUAGUCUGCUUUUUGUACAAAAUUCCCAUGCUGUAUAUGGCAAGGUGCUAUGAACUGCUGGAAGCGUGUUUGGUUAGAGGGCCAAAAGAGAGGGGCUGUACGUCCCUGUGACUUUAACACACUGAGAGAAAGAGCACAUGUUCCUGCCUCUCUGAUGCAAAAAUGAAUCCUGCAGCUUCCUUGGCUUCUACUGAAAUCUGACUUUGUGUGGUAGGGUUAAGUAGACCCUUUGAAUGCUCUGUAAAUGUCUGAUAAGAUUAGGAACUACAGACGUGGAUCCCUUAGUGGACUUUAUGAAUCUUCUGUUCUGGGGUAUGUGUGUUAAUUUGUGUAUACAUACAAAUACACAUAGAAAAGCCGGAUGAGAAGUUCUGAAUAAAAGUAAGACAUGCUGCAAGAGUUCUUAACAAGAGAAGCAAUCCAAUUUUACAUAUACAGCCUUAAGAUGUGCACAGAGAUCUAAGGAUAAUCAGAGGUGAUCUCAAGUGGAUUUCCAAGAUAACAACACGAGUGUGAAGAGUCUUAAAAAGUUACCGGCCAAUGGAACAGCUUCAUUCACAUAACACAAUUCAGAUUCCCAGUGAAGGGACAAAAGCCAGAUCUCUGAAUGAUAUAAACAUGGAUUUGUUUCAAAAGUGAUCAGAAAAGGAUUCUUUAAAGGACUCAGAUGUACGAUACUCACUGGAGAUGGGACAGGUUUCUUUUUUUCCAAGCUCAGUUUUCUUUCAAUGAAGGUUGCACUGCUGUUUUCUUUUACAAAAUUCAGCUUGUGAACCUCCUCCAUUAACUGAUGCUGCACUUCACAGAUGCUUGAGGAAGACAGCUGUAAACAAAAAGCCCUUUUCUGCCUCUAAAGUCAGCUCUUGGUGGAAUGGGAUACUCCAGAAGGGCCUCACUGCAACGUGUUUCUUAUGCAGUGUUUUGUCCAAACACAGUUGCCUAAACAUGCCUCUGGUUCAGGCUGUUCAGGGCCGACCUAAAGAAACCAAGGCUAAAAUACUAAGAACUGCCUCCAUUUUGCCCUAUUGUCUCUCCACUGAUAUUACUGGAGCAGCUGCGUUAUGGUCACUCUCAAUAAAAGGUCCAAGACUGACAAAACUCAAGCUGAGAACUUAACCUUUGCUACGCUUGCAAAGAAGAAAAAAAAAAUUGACUGUGCUCACCAAAACAAUCAAAAUCGCAGUAGCUUUUAGGCACGUGUCCUACACAUCCUACCCAAUGCAUACAGAAAGAAAGAAAGAGAGAUAAAUAGGGCUUAUGCCUAUUUAUAAUGUACUUACUGGAACAGGCACCACCACAGCAGAAUUUGAUUGAAGUGCUGCAGACAUAAUACUUCUGAGGAGGGUAAUGAAGCAAUACAGACAGUUCAACACAAUCUUUUUGGCUGCUCUGUUGAAUACCUGAAGUUCUUCCACUAGCUGUGCAUUUAAAGCCUCAUAGUCUUUCUUUGCUAGAUCAAGCUCUUCUCCUGUUGACCUCUGGAGGUAGCUGUUGUAGUCCAACAGUUUGUCAUAGCGCUUCUGGAUGAGCUUCUGUGGGCCUGAAAACAAGGCUUGUAGUGCUGAGAGAGGAGUCAAAACAACCUUGUCUAGCUGAGCCAUCUGGAAAGAUAUAAAACAGUCCCACAUGUUACUUCUUUCUCGCAACUCUUCAGACUUCAGGUUCAGCCUCAUUGCAGCCCAUCAAGCAAUCUGUUAUUGACCCUUCCCAAAGUAUUGCUGUCAGGGGCAGCUUCACAGUACAGGGUAUAGCAUAAGUUAGAAAUCUUUCGUAAUGUUGCAAAGGAGGAGGUAACAGAUUUGCAGCUUAUGGUGUCUGAUAAUGGAAAUGGCCCCCUGGAGCCCAUAGCAUAUGUUACUGUCCUUUGUGAUACCAUGGAGGAAAGACCAAGGCAAGGAUCAGUGAAGGAUAACCAUGAGGACUGAAACUGAAGAGUAGGUGAAUGUGCUUUUCAGUGCCUUGUGGUGCUGCACUCAAGUAAAACUGAGAAUUCAGCCAAAUAAAAUAAAUAGCAGUAAAUCAAUUCCUGUUUAAGCAAACACAGACGCUGAUUUUAAAAAAAAUCCUUCUUAGACAUUCCUAUUAGCCUCUAAUCGUCUCAAAGCAUUAACAUUGCACUAAAAAAAAUAUAUUUUUGAUAGUCACACGUUGUAAUAUAGCACAGACUUUUGAUGAGUAAACCUCAUCAUCAAGUUAAAGCCCUUGGAUGUUCUAUGUGAAAUAGCUUGUUGGAUCAAGCGUGGGAAUAAAAGUGCAGCCAUCCCUCUUCCCCUCCAUAGCACGCCAUGGUUGAGGGCACAUCUGUUUUAGGACCAGGACCCAAGGCCAAGAUGCUGUGCUUGUCUUAUUUCCACUUGAAAAACUAGGCUGUGUUUAGUGAAGCAGUUUUUGAUGUGUUUCAAAAAAAAAAAGCUUUUUCCAAACUGCUGUUCUUGAUUUCCAGAAGUGAAGGGGCUACCGUGGAUUUCUGCCCUAAAGUUUUCCCUAAAACACAAGGGAGGAAAAUAUCCAUUACUGACAAAUGCAGAAAGGGAAAAAAAAAAAAAAAAUUAACGUGAGCCUAUUGCUGAGAUCUCCAUUGAUAACACACACACAGAAGGACGUGUAAACAUCUGCUCACCAUACAAAGUAAAUUUAGGAUUUCAUUUUGUAUUCAAGGAUCCAGACCUGCUGGAUGUCCAAAACCACAGCCCUGAUAAACUCUCCCUUAAAGCUUUUCAAAAAUAUCAGGUAUCCGAGGCUGGGUGAGUAUUCUGGCAAGCUGUUGCCAGACAUUUGUUCUUUUCUGAUGUUCCUACAGCCAUUGUCAGAGGGAAGCUCCUCAGAAAGAUGGAUUUCUCAUAUAUUUAGGGCUACCAAAAGUGUCCUUACCUUAGAAAUAGCUUUACCUAUCAGCCUGGUGUGUACUGAGCAGGCCUACAGAUACAUAAUGCACAGCAAUUGAAGAGUGCCUGGAUUUUCAGAUUUGACACUGCACUGUUGACAAGCACUGCUGAGGAGCUCAGAGCUCUCUAAGCACAUUUAUUAGACAAUGAGGUGGUAGUAAAGGGCUCUGAAUGAAUUGGCAUCCAAAUUAAGUAGCUUCAUAAACCACAAGUGUUGAAAGACAUUGCAAAACCAGUGCAGUUAGUAAUUAGAGAACCAGACAGGCUUAGAGAAAUUAAAACUGAGAGUGUUUUGUCACAUAUGUCCUGGAGAAGUCUAUGCAUUCUACAGAUAUUGCUUAGUGUUCUUAAAAUUUCCACAUGUACAGU